rnacentral:lncRNA from 1 species
AUGUCCAGUAAAAGUCAGACUGAAAUGUACUUCAUCUCCCAGACCAUCUUCACUGAAACAAAAGGAAGCAACACUAAAGAAAAAUACUACUGGUGUCAAAAUUCCAGCUGAGUUUUAUUCACUUUGAUUUACCCCAUAACUAGACUCAGUGUCUACAAGCAAUGUGAACCAGUGAGUUGAACAAUUAGCUACUGAAUAUUGUCCCUGAAGCUGCUUUUCUCCCUGUUGUUUCUUAGUGUCGUGAUUAUCAGAACAAUUACUUCUUCUUUUAUAGUGUAUAUGUAGCCAUAUCUCAAUCCCUGUGGCACAAAUAUUUAAUACAAUGAUCUUGGGGUGGUAGAAUUUUAUUGCUGAAAAAGUAUAGCUUCUGAUCAUGUUCCUAAAAUAAAGGCGUAAGUUAUAUAUAUAAUAUCUUGCCUGAAAGCUACAACAGAGGAAGCUUACAUUUUCUGACAGGACUUUUCAGGUUUUCUUUUGGAAUAUAUUUUUAGUAGAUGAGAAAAAAUUUUUGAAUUUGUGUUGUGAUUAUCGUGUAGAAACAGGAUAGACUCUCUGCCAUCCAAAAUUUUGUUCAGAUUUCAAUACUGGUGGUGCCAUACAUGCACCAAGAAGAUAUGAGAAGGUUUAGUACUCAGAAAAUGAACUUUUUUCAGAGAAUAGAGUGGUUUUUCAAUGGAUACAGAAUGGCUUGAAAGAGCAGGUAAAGGAGACUGGCUUGGGGUUUUUAUGAUGGUAAAGGUAGGUGUACUGGGGCAAAGUUUGUCUUAGCAGGAUUUAUGUGGUCUAAAUUUCUUACCAGUGCCAACAGAAGGAGCACUGGGCUUUCGUAUCAAUUUGCCCAAGUUUAAGUCAAUAAGGGAAGAGGGAUGGUAAUAGCUUAAAAGCUUCAGCAGUCAAAUUGGAGGCAGACUCUUUAUUUUAAUUCACUUAUAUCAUUCUCUUCUUUAUGAAUAUUUGGUCUUAACUUACUGAUGAUACUUGGCAAAGUUUCUAGAACUCUUAUUAGUUGUUGACUAGAAGUGACUUUUCUG